AUCUAUGGCCAUACUACCCUGAACUCACCUGAUCUCAUCUGAUCUCGGAAGCUAAGCAGGGCCGGGCCUGGUUAGUACUUGGAUGGGAGAGGCUCGAGGGUACAAAACUGUAAGAGUUU
rnacentral:rRNA from 1 species